UUCUGGCUCAGGAUGAACGCUGGCGGCGUGCCUAACACAUGCAAGUCGAACGGAAGAUAAGCGCUUCGGAGACUUCGGUCAAUGUUGCUUAACUUAGUGGCGGACGGGUGAGUAACGCGUGGAUAACCUGCCUCAUACAGGGGGAUAACAGUUAGAAAUGACUGCUAAUACCGCAUAAGCGCACGGAAUCGCAUGUUUCUGUGUGAAAAACUGAGGUGGUAUGAGAUGGAUCCGCGUCUGAUUAGCUAGUUGGCGGGGUAACAGCCCACCAAGGCGACGAUCAGUAGCCGGCCUGAGAGGGUGAACGGCCACAUUGGGACUGAGACACGGCCCAAACUCCUACGGGAGGCAGCAGUGGGGGAUAUUGCACAAUGGGGGAAACCCUGAUGCAGCCGACGCCGCGUGAGUGAAGAAGUAUUUCGGUAUGUAAAGCUCUAUCAGCAGGGAAGAUAAUGACGGUACCUGACUAAGAAGCACCGGCUAAAUACGUGCCAGCCGCCGC
rnacentral:rRNA from 1 species